CAAUUAUUUUCCACCUUCCAAAUGUAAUGUUUUAAUAUUGAAUGGGUGAAUUGUCUUGAGGCUUACUUCCCAAAUUUUCUUUUAGCCUUAAUAUUUUCUCAUAUUUUUUGAUUGAAAUUAUGUGAUUUUGAGAAUGAGAUGUCAAACUGUAACGCAAAAAAAGCUUUACCAUAUGUCAAUUUACAAGAUUUUAACAUGAGAAUAAUGAGUGGUUUAGUUGUCAAAAUACUCAGGAAUAAUAAUACUUAACCAUCAAAUGCUUGGCUUCAUUUAUCCAAAUGUACAUGUACAACCGUACAAGUAGAGUACCAAUUACACGGGCAUGUUCUGCAUUGAGUAAUAACUAUAUUUUCCCUUGAUUUCCACGGGAUUGGUUUAUAGAGAUAUACAAAAAUCAUAUAAAGUUAACCAUGGAAUACAUUAGAUGGAAAGAAAUGAUUGAAUCUUAGUGCCCAACUGGGACCCUGUUAAAGUUAAAACUAUCACAUCAUAAGAAACUACACAAAUUUGAAAAAAUUUCCAUCACUCUUUAUCCUAACUGAAUCCAUCAGCUCCAUUUAUUGAUUGCCAAAAAGAUCAGCUGGGCAAAAACCAGAAGUGAAGUUCAAUAACUUGCUAGAAGCAUCAUAGUCCACCAAAAAUAGUUCUCUCAAACAGGUGUCUGGCUCGAUCUUAAGCUUCAAAAAGGUUUGUAAAAAAAAAGUCCAACUUUGACCAACCCAUUCCAGGAUUAAAAUGAAAAGAUAAGUAUAGAAUCAAAAAAUCUUGUCUAGGACAAAAGCUAAUUUUCGGAAUCUUCUAAACUGAAAGGCUAGCUGGAUAGAGCAUUUGAAAACAUAAUGUUCCGACAUGCAAAAUUGAAGUGCAUACACAAUAUUUCUGCAUUAAUGCAUUCAAGAAAAUUGUGCUAUCAAAAGAACAAAGUAGUACCACAAUGAAAAAUUUCCUUCGCGUAUCAAGAAAUCAUGUAGGAUAUUUGAAAAGACUCAUCAAGAGGAAAGUUUGGAAAGUGGAAUCUUUCUAUCCAAACCGCAUUUCUAAAAUUUAUAAGGAAUUCGCAAUUUAAGUCCAUAAUACACUUCUCUAUAUUGUUCUUUACCAUAGUAGUAAAAAGGGGUGAGCUGUACAAAUACAAAAAUCAAAAUCCACCUAAAAUAAUUAAGAUCCCAUGUGACAACAAAGCUCAAAAUUGCUACAAUUAAAAAAUACUCACUGAGACCAGGUGUUAAUGGCCCAUAAAUCAUCAUUUCGAUUGACUAUAAAUCUCAAGAAUUCACAGUGGGAAAGAGUAGCCAAGAAAACCAUUUGGACAGUUUAUCGAAUGUAACCCUCAAUCAAAAAAGGCCGUUGAACAUAUGUGAAUAAAACUAAAAAUGCAUUUGAAUGCUAAAGUGCACUAUAAAGAAAGAAAGUUAGAAAUAUCAUACUUUUCUUUUGGUUUCUAGAAUAGUCAUUUAUUAUCAUAUUGUGCCUUGUGUUUCUCUUUCUUCUUCCUAGAUCUCAACAUCUUUUCUUCUAUGUUCGGGUUAUUAUUUUCACGGUAGCCAUCACCGCUUACCUUCACAGGCAUCCGAUUUCUUUUAGUACAGAAAAGAAAGAACUAAAUUACAUCUUGGAACACCUAAAGAACAGUGUAGAAUGUCCGACAUGAUACAACAUGGAUGCAUUGACCCAAUUUUUUUUAAAAUAAUAAACAUGAUACCAAAUGUCAACUAAAAAAUAUUAAUUUUUCUAACUUUUUUAUGCUUUUAUAUUUCUAAAAUGUUUAGUGGAAAAUUAUGCAUUUCGUUCAAUUAAAAAGUUGGGUAAAUCAAAUCAGUACACAAAUUUGUUCAAUUUUUUAAAUCAGAAUUUGAAUAAAACAAAAAAAUAAAAAUAAAAAUAAAAAUAAAUUCAGAAGUUCUCCACCACCCCUCUCUCUUUGAGUCAAGCUUUGAAGAGGUAAAUCACCGAUGAUCCCAGUUCUUGAUUUACAAGGUUAUGCAGAGAGCAGAUUAUGGGAGAAAACCUUCAUGGUUAAAAGUGAAAAUAUUCUAGUUGAAGAUUAAAGUUGGAAAUAGAUUCAAGAGCUUGAGAAAGAGCAUUUCAUCAACUCUAUCUUCUGCUAAAUCUAGUGGUUGCAAAAAAAAAUAACUUUCAGUUGAAAGCUUGAAAGCCCCCGAUCCAUGGCAUGACAGAGAGGAAGUAGUAAUCAAACACCCCCCUACGGCCCUUACCCCAACCAAAUUGUUGAGACUUGAGUUGAAUUAAGUUUUUCCCUCUUUAUUGUUUCUGAGAAGAAAAUUUUGGGAUGAUAAUAAACACCUACAGAUUUCAAUUUUUAUUCAAUGAAGGGAUUGAUUUAUCUCUCUUCCUUUAAAUCUUCUGAUAUGGGUUGGUAGUGUAAUUAAAUCAAAUCUAAAGAGAAUUAGAAACUCUGCAAGUUAUAUUCCGUACCCACAUAUACCAACCAAAUCUCCACCACCAACACCGCCAAAUUCCAGCCACCGCAAUCCCAACAGUUAUCAUCAGACAAAAAUCACAAUUAAAAAAUACUCACUGACUGACCAAGAGUUAAUGGCCCGUAAAUAAUCAUUCCGAUUGGCUAUAAAUCUCGAAAAUUCACAGUGGAAAAAACAUGCAUUUGAAGACUAUAUUUGUGGAUAACCAGCAAAGAAUGGAGAGAGAAGGUCUUACAGGCCUGUGUAGGUGUGAUAGCGAGGUCGCGACGGGUGGGGAAGUGAGUUCUUCGCGGCCGGCAACGGCUGUUGCGCGAACGAAAACCCUUGAUAUCUUUCUCUCCACUACAUCUCUCAAACAGGACGACUGGAGAAGCCAGAAGACAGCGCCAACGGGUGGGAAAGAGAGACACCGAAUGGCAGGAACGGCUGCGGGAAAGAGACCCUCGAUUUUUUCCGUCUACUCUAGAAACCAAAAGAAAAGACGGUAUUAUUGACGCCUCUCUACUCAAUAUACGGAUGGCUCGACCGACCAACAAUUAGCCGUCCAAAAAUUCUUCUGUGGCUUAUGGAAAAAUCUGGUUUAUUUAGAUUUAGAAAAAUCCAGAUUAUGAGCUAGCCAAUGAUGAAAUGUGGCUUGUGAUAGUGGGUUGUGAUCAGUGCCUUUGCACUCCCUC
rnacentral:lncRNA from 1 species